GACGAACGCUGGCGGCGUGCUUAACACAUGCAAGUCGAACGAAGUGGCGAACGGGUGAGUAACGCGUAAUCAACCUGCAUUUGAGAGGGGGACAACAGUUGGAAACGACUCCUAAUACGGCAUACUGAAGAAGGGGUUUGAGUGUGAUUGGCUAGUUGGAGGGGGUAUGGCCCAACAAGGCGAUGAGCAGUAGCCGGGCUGAGAGGGUGAACGGCCACAUUGGGACUGAGACACGGCCCAGACUCCUACGGGAGGCAGCAGUGGGGAAUCUUCCGCAAUGGACGGAAGUCUGACGGAGCAACGCCGCGUGAGUGAUGACGGCCUUCGGGGUGUAAAGCUCUGUUAAUCGGGACGCGGUACCGGAAUAGAAAGCCACGGCUAACUACGUGCCAGCAGCCGCGGUAAUUC
rnacentral:rRNA from 1 species